rfam:Sus scrofa chromosome 8.
GGAUGUGAUGGCGAUCUGGCUGCGACAUCUGUCACCCCAUUGAUCACCAGGGUUGAUUUGGCCGAUCCAGCUGGCUAGGCGGGUGUCCCCUUCCUCCCUCACCGAUCCAUGUGCGUCCUUCCCAAAACUGCACAGUCGGUCGGAGAGGACGACCACUGCCGAGAGAGGAGGACCGUUCCUUGGUCAAGGGCACACAAGUAGAUGUGCUCCUCUGCUGGAACCUCCAAACAAGCUCUCAAGGUCUAUAAAAGUAGGUAAGGGUUAACUGGUG